CAGUAGCCACGGUAAUACGUAGGUGGCAAGCGUUGUCCGGAAUUAUUGGGCGUAAAGGGCUCGCAGGCGGUUUCUUAAGUCUGAUGUGAAAGCCCCCGGCUCAACCGGGGAGGGUCAUUGGAAACUGGGAAACUUGAGUGCAGAAGAGGAGAGUGGAAUUCCACGUGUAGCGGUGAAAUGCGUAGAGAUGUGGAGGAACACCAGUGGCGAAGGCGACUCUCUGGUCUGUAACUGACGCUGAGGAGCGAAAGCGUGGGGAGCGAACAGGACUAGAGACCCCAGUAGUCCCUGUCUCUUAUAC
rnacentral:rRNA from 1 species